AGGACGAACGCUGGCGGCGUGCUUAACACAUGCAGGUCGAGCGGUAAGGCCUUUCGGGGUACACGAGCGGCGAACGGGUGAGUAACACGUGGGUGAUCUGCCCUGCACUCUGGGAUAAGCCUGGGAAACUGGGUCUAAUACCGGAUAUGACCUGCUCUCGCAUGGGGGGUGGGUGGAAAGAUUUAUCGGUGCAGGAUGGGCCCGCGGCCUAUCAGCUUGUUGGUGGGGUAAUGGCCUACCAAGGCGACGACGGGUAGCCGACCUGAGAGGGUGACCGGCCACGACUGGGACUGAGACACGGCCCAGACUCCUAUGGGAGCAGCAGUGGGGAAUA
rnacentral:rRNA from 1 species